rnacentral:rRNA from 1 species
AUUCCAGCUCCAAUAGCGUAUAUUAAUGUUGUUGCAGUUAAAAAGCUCGUAGUUGGAUUUCUGGGUUCUUCGCUAGCUUUGGUCCGCAAGGGCUUCAGUGGGCUGUUUGAAUCCAUCCUCAGGGGGACCCAUGCUGGUAUUCAUUUAUCGGUGUGGGAACGCCUGUCGUUUACUGUGAACAAAUUAGAGUGUUCAAAGCAAGGUGUACUUGAAUACAUUAGCAUGGAAUAAUAAGAUAGGACUUUGGUGGUUCUUUUUGAUAUUUUGUUGGUUUGCACGCCAAAGUAAUGAUUAAUAGGAGCAGUUGGGGGUAUUCGUAUUCAAUUGUCAGAGGUGAAAUUCUUGGAUUUAUAGAAGACGAACUACUGCGAAAGCAUUUACCAAGGAUGUUUUCAUUA